rnacentral:lncRNA from 1 species
GGCGGGUUGCAGGCGGGGUCUGCAGUGUUCGGGAUGAGGGUCCGCAUCCGUCCGGAGCUUUAGGCCGCUUUUCCCGCGGAUCCGGUUUCUUGAGCCUCGCCUUGCAGGGGCUGGAGGACAAGGUCAGUGGCGGUCAAGAGAGAAAGGGCAGCGCGGCGCCUUUCGGGGAAGAGCGGGGCUUGGGGGGUUCAGUUUCAGCGAUUACACUUUGGGACCGAUUUCGGGGCGAGUGCUGGGUACCCUGGCCGCGGGGACCGGGGCUUAAGUGUUGGAGCUGAACACCGAACCAGUGUGGAGGAGCUAGCACCUCCGUUUUACGAGUGACACGCGGAGGCACAGAGAGGUUUGGUGGGCGCACAGCUGGUAGGAGAGGGCGUGGGGAUCUCUGCCUCUUGGGCCGGCGCCCUUUAGCACUACACGUGGAUCAGUGCAAAGAGAGAAGCUAACAUUGUAAAAGGAGCAGAGGAAGUACUGUGAGAGGACAAGAGAGGUAGAGACCAGUAGGACUCCUGAAAUCUAGGCGGGCUUCAAGAAGGAGGUAGCUUCUAGGCCUGGCCUUGAGGGACAAACAGGAAUGGAAGACUAAGGAAGAGAAUGGAGAGAGGCCCUGAGACAUCUGUGAAUUCCUGGCACCUGGCGAUGCUCACUAUGUGUCUGCUGACUGGAUGGAUAGAGACAGGAGGGCUGGGAAGGACCUUCUCAAGAGGAAGCAAGUAAAUCCAAGCAAGCUGGAACUGUGCACAGGAAGAGUUACCAGCUGCUGGGAGAGGAUAUAAGGCAACCGCGUUUGUGGACACACCAAGGACCUUCUGUCCUAGAGCAGAAGCUGAUUCUUCAGCUGCACGCAGGGCAGCCACUAGAUAAGGCUCUCCCCCCGGCCCACCCCACCCCAGACACGAGAGGAAGAAGAGGGAAUACCAGGUAAAGAGUACUUAAAUUCAAAGCCAAAACAGGAAAUGCCAUUUAUUUCCCUUUAUAGAAAUCAUACAUACAUUCUAUAACCUUUUUAUUACUUACGUAAUUUUUGUGAGAUGUUAGCAUGCAAGAUAGGAUAUGAAACUCAAAUGUGUGUUUUCACAGAGCAUAAUAAAUACUCAUGACCCCACCGUCCGGCUUUAAGACACAAUACUAGGGGCGCCUGGAUGGCGCAGUCGGUUCAGCGUCCGACUUCAGCCAGGUCACGAUCUCGCGGUCCGUGAGUUCGAGCCCCGCGUCGGGCUCUGGGCUGAUGGCUCAGAGCCUGGAGCCUGUUUCCGAUUCUGUGUCUCCCUCUCUCUCUGCCCCUCCCCCGUUCAUGCUCUGUCUCUCUCUGUCCCAAAAAUAAAUAAACGUUGAAAAAAAAAAUUAAAAAAAAAAAAGACACAAUACUAACUUAGAGACUCCCUUUGGCCCCUCCACGUGUGUACCUUCCUGUCCACUUCCCAGAUGUGGACACAGCUUUUCGGGAUCAUCACUAUCCAGAUUUUAUCAUUUCAUUACUUUUCCUUUUUUUCAAUAGGCUUCACGCCAGGCGCAGAGCCCGACACAGGACUUGAACUCACCACCUUGAGAUCAAGAUCUGAGCUGAGGGGCGCCUGGGUGGCUCAGUCGGUUAAGCGUCUGACUUUGGCUCAGGUCAUGAUCUCCCGGUUCCUGGGUUCGAGCCCCACAUCGGGCUCUGUGCUGACAGCUAGAGCCUGGAGCCUGCUUCAGAUUUUGUGUCUCCCUCUCUCUCUCUCUCUCUCUCUGCCCCUCCCCUGCUUGUGCUCUGUCUCUCUGUCAAAAAUAAACAUUAAAAAAAAAAAAAAAAAGAUCUGGGCUGAGAUCAAGAGUUAGAUGCUUACCCUACUGAGCCACCCAGGCACCCCCUCAUUACUUUCCUUUAAAGGUUUACCACACAUGGAUAUAUCCCUAAACAAUUACUGGGAAGUUUACUAUUUGUCUCUUAAUAUUCAUUUUUUCUGUCUCCCAAAUUUCGCCAGCACAUACGGCUGCCUAGGAUAAAGAACGCACUUCCCAGCCUCCCUCGUGUCUGGUGACGCUUCAUCCUACUGCUUGUAACAUAGAGGUCAUGGGCGGAAGCCGGCUCGGGCCAUGCGGACCGUGGCAGGAGUGGAACAGCCAGCUGCAAGGAGCCUGGAUCCCUGGACAACGUGAGGUUGCAGAGCCAUCAUCCCAGCCCCUGACUGCCUCCUCCACACUGCUCCACAGAGUGCAGACAAACCUCCCGUUUAAGCCAUUGCUACUUUGGACUCCGUUGCAUGAAGCCCAAGUUGUAGCCUAACUAAUUCAGCAGCGUAUGGGGGUAGAGCAUUUGGGCCUUUUUGAUGUUUCUGCUCGUGGACCCACGUGUGUGUAUUCUUCUGUAACUUCCCUUUUGACUCAACCGUUGGCAAGAUUCACCAUCAUACUGCUGCUCUGAAUCAUUCCUUCUUGCUGCUCUCUGGAAGUCUACCGUUCAGAUAGCCCAGAAUACAUGUGUUUAUGCUCCUGCUGAGGGCACCUGACUUGUUUCCAGUUAUUUGCCAUUAUAAACAGUGAUACAGUGACGGUAUUGUCUCUUUCCUCUGUUAGAGUUUCUCUAGAGCAGGAACCUACGAGGGGAAUUGUAGAUCCAAGAGUAUGCGAGCCUUCGAUGUUCCUAGAUAUGGCCGAACUGCUUAUACUGUACUUCAAAGUACUUACAAGAGUUCUUGCGAGUUUACGUCGGAGGCUGGAAAACUUUCCUGCAAAGAGUCAGAUAGCAAACGAUGUGUUCUGCUUUGCAAGCCAUGUGGACUCUAUCCCAGCCAUUCAGUUCUGCUGUCGUAGCUCAAAAGCAGCGCUAGACAAUACGUAAACAGAGGAGCGUGUCUGUGUUCCAAUAAAACUUUAUUUACAAAAAUAUUGGCUGGG